ACCGUUUCCUAUAAUGAAACGUGGCCUUUUAUGAACACAAAUCUGUUCUGAUCAGCAUCAUAUCUGAUACGUCCUCUACAUGGGGACCAGACUAUUAAACUCAUUUUUGAACAUUGGCGGGGUUACUGGAGCUUCCUCUCGCCUCCUCGCGUUGGCCUGGUUUGCCGGUCAAUGCCAUGUCACCAACAGCGCGU